GGACUACCGGGGUAUCUAAUCCCGUUUGCUCCCCUGGCUUUCGUGCCUCAGCGUCAGGAAAUGUCCAGAGACUCGCCUUCGCCACUGGUGUUCCUCUCGAUAUCUACGCAUUUCACUGCUACACCGAGAAUUCCAGUCUCCCCUCCAUUCCUCGAGCCGGAUAGUAUCCAAUGCAGUUCCACAGUUGAGCUGUGGGAUUUCACAUCAAACUUACCCGGCCGCCUACGCACCCUUUACGCCCAGUGAAUCCGAACAACGCUUGGGACCUCUGUAUUACCGCGGCUGCUGGCAC
rnacentral:rRNA from 2 species